rnacentral:rRNA from 1 species
UUCCGGUUGAUCCUGCCGGACCCGACUGCUAUCAGAGUGGGACUAAGCCAUGCGAGUUAACGUAGCAAUACGUGGCAUACGGCUCAGUAACACGUAGUCAACAUGCCCAGGGGACGUGGAUAACCUCGGGAAACUGAGGAUAAACCGCGAUAGGUCAUGAUUUCUGGAAUGAUUCAUGGCCCAAAUCUAUAUGGCCCCUGGAUUGGACUGCGGCCGAUCAGGCUGUUGGUGAGGUAAUGGCCCACCAAACCUGUUACCGGUACGGGCUCUGAGAGGAGAAGCCCGGAGAUGGGCACUGAGACAAGGGCCCAGGUCCUAUGGGGCGCAGCAGGCGCGAAACCUCUGCAAUAGGCGAAAGCUUGACAGGGUUACUCUGAGUGAUUUUCGCUAAGAAAAUCUUUUGGCACCUCUAAAAAUGGUGCAGAAUAAGGGGUGGGCAAGUCUGGUGUCAGCCGCCGCGGUAAUACCAGCACCCCGAGUGGUCGGGACGAUUAUUGGGCCUAAAGCAUCCGUAGCCGGUUCUACAAGUCUUCCGUUAAAUCCACCUGCUUAACAGAUGGGCUGCGGAGGAUACUAUAGAGCUAGGAGGCGGGAGAAGCAAGCGGUACUUAGUGGGUAAGGGUAAAAUCCG